rnacentral:rRNA from 1 species
UACGUAGGGUCCAAGCGUUGUCCGGAUUUAUUGGGCGUAAAGAGCUCGUAGGCGGUUCGACAAGUCGGGUGUGAAAACUCCGGGCUCAACCCGGAGACGCCACCCGAUACUGUCGUGACUGGAGUCCGGUAGGGGAGUGGGGAAUUCCUGGUGUAGCGGUGAAAUGCGCAGAUAUCAGGAGGAACACCGGUGGCGAAGGCGGCUCACUGGCCAUGUACUGACGCUGAGACACGAAAGCGUGGGGAUCAAACAGG